rnacentral:rRNA from 1 species
AUUAUGCCUGAACGCCUCUAAGGCAGAAUCUGUUCUGGACCGUUAAGCGACAAUAUU